AACGCACAUUGCGCCCGCUAGUAUUCUAGCAGGCAUGCCUGUCCGAGCGUCGUUUCGACCCUCAGGCCGUUCUCCUCAGGGCGGUCUGGUGUUGGGGCAUCUAUGCUUAGGCGUAUGCCCCGAAAUUCAGCGGCGGACCCGCCGAGACCCCGAACGCAGUAGUUAAUACCUCGUUUAGGGUGUCACGGCGGGCGUCUCCUGCCGUUAAACCCCCCAGUUUUGCAAGGUCGACCUCGGAUCAGGUAGGAAUACCCGCUGAACUUAA
rnacentral:misc_RNA from 1 species